UUCAAUACUACUCUAAACGUAGUGUGCACUUUUCUCUUAGUAAGACGCCGUGAUCCAUUAGAAAUUGAUACAUUCAAGAUGUAUAUUGGGUCAUCAAUAGGCCAAUAUGAAGUUUAUUCGGAACAAAUGGCAUAAUCUUUUUACGGUUGUGUAUAUUGUCUGGUAAGCAUAUUGUGUUUCCUGUAAUGACUGUCUGAUGGAUUUUAGGGAUGAUAUUAUUAAUGCUAUAUGCAUUACUUACUUUUAAGUGAGAGUACGAUAUCUAUCUGAUCAACGGCGGUCAAAUUUGGGAUACCUUUUGGACCCGUCUUGAAACACGGACCAAGGAGUCUAUCUAGUAUGCGAGUAAAUGGAUAAUUGUGAAAUCUAUUUGCAUAAUAAACUUAACUGUAUUUAAUGGGAUUACGUGAAUUUAUUAUAAAUUUUCUUCCAUCCCGGGGUAUUUUUAUCAACAUAUGCGCAAGCAUAUGGAAAAUAUACCAUGAGCACACUGGAUACGACCCGAAAGAUGGUGAACUAUGCCUGAUCAGGUCGAAGUCAGGGGAAACCCUGAUGGAGGACCGAAGCAGUUCUGACGUGCAAAUCG
rnacentral:rRNA from 1 species